rnacentral:rRNA from 1 species
AACGAACGCUGGCGGCAGGCCUAACACAUGCAAGUCGAGCGGGGGAGCAAUCCCUAGCGGCGGACGGGUGAGUAACGCGUGGGAACGUACCCUUUGCUUCGGAAUAGCCCCGGGAAACUGGGAGUAAUACCGGAUGUGCCCUACGGGGGAAAGAAUUUCGGCAAAGGAUCGGCCCGCGUUGGAUUAGGUAGUUGGUGGGGUAAUGGCCUACCAAGCCGACGAUCCAUAGCUGGUUUGAGAGGAUGAUCAGCCACACUGGGACUGAGACACGGCCCAGACUCCUACGGGAGGCAGCAGUGGGGAAUCUUAGACAAUGGGCGCAAGCCUGAUCUAGCCAUGCCGCGUGAGCGAUGAAGGCCUUAGGGUUGUAAAAGCUCUUUCGUGGGGGAAGAUAAUGACGGUACCCCAAGAAGAAGCCCCCGGCUAACUCCGUGCCAGCAGCCGCGUAAAU